CGUUAGAACAAGAUGCACAUUUCAAGCAGUAGCAGGCGAAACCCUCUCCAAGAAAGCACCCUUGGACUGUUGCUCUCCAGAAGACAAGACGGCAUUCCUGGAGUUUCCCACCAGCGACAACCACAAUGGAAACAAACCCUUUGUACUCUGGAAAUAGAUUCCUCUGCACGUGGAGUCAAGGCACUGUCCUUUUAAGUCCAGGCUGCUGUCUACAACUCCUAUCCCGCUGAUAAACAGUCGCAACUUCCACAAGCUUUUGAGGAUGCUUGCUUCUCUCAGUUAAGUCAGGCAGCCCUGCCUAUACUGCUUAUUCCCAGUUUACAGUUGUACACAGUAAAUACUAAUUACUUGUUCAAGCCCUUUUUCAAUGUAAUCAGUAGAUUUAUCUGCUUUUAAAUUAACUGUUCUCCUAAUGUUUGUUACAUGUAAUUUUUUUAUUUCCUUUCAGACUAGUGAUAAAAAACUUGCCCAAUUUUAGGACAAAAUCAAUACAUGGCAUCACAUGCCAAGGUGGUAAGUCUCCUGCUUACAAUCAGCUUCAGACCUAUCACCUAACCAGGCCUAAUCCACAUAAUAUACACAACACAUAUUUUAGUUUCUGAAAAACAUAGCAAAAUCUGAAAUGUGAAUUUAGCCUUUUGUGUAUUUGUUAACAGAAGAUAUCCAUUCAUAGCUCAGUAAAAUCAAACUCAGUAUCUAGAAAGAAGAUGUAAAGAGAUAUGAGGAAGAGAGGACUCCUGGUUUUGCCAAGACAAUGAAUUGGGGUUUUAUCUUUAAAGCCAUUUAAAAAAGGCCAAACCCUUCGGUUUGCAAGUUUACAGCCCUUUUACAAUAAUAUCAGGCAGUUAUUCAACAAAAAACAAACAGUCUAACUAAUGUGCAUAAAGAUUCAAGGUUUCAUUUCUCAGGUUUCUACAGAGAUUUGUGGAAGUAUACAUACAUUAUUUUUUUUAUUUUUUGCAUAACUGGAGAGUUAAUCACUACGAAACUUCACUUUUGUUGGCUGCUUUGAGUACCCCCUACUCAAAUCAUCACUCAGAUAACAGUCACUCGGAAAAGUGUCAGCUGUUUUAAAAAGCCUUUUGUUGAAUCUGGGUAUGUUAAUAGUGCUUCCAAAGCCUCAAUUUUGAUAGGAAUUGCAGUAUGUCAAAUUCAAUAAAAGCACCCGAACUUUGUUUUGAUGCCAGAAUGUGGUAUGUGGAAAAAAACCCGAACCCAACAAAUGAUGAACAUCCGUGAUAGGAUAUUUAUGAACUGCUUACCACAUCUGCAUGCAGUUGUUGUAGGACUUGGCCGCUGCAUGGCUUGAUACAAGCAUGCUGAGAAACCGAAGCUCUCACUGAAGUGUAUUUGCUCUGCACUGUGCACAUUUCCCAAAUAUAUAUUAAUGCAAGUAUUUUCACUACUUUUUUUUUUUUUUUCUGUAAAGAGCAAAAUAAUUCCCUUACUUUCAUAGAGUAUUGCAGGGACCGGUAGAGCAAGGAGAAAAAUGGAAAUAAGCAACAUAAAAACUAACAGCAUUUCUCAGAAAAUACCGGUUAUAAGGAGAAGCUUCUUGCAUAACUCUCAUUUAUGUUCACCUCUAGUUCUGCAAAAGCAAGAUGCUACUUUAUAAAGUACUGAAGCACUCAGCAGACACCACCCUAGCAGAGCCGACCUGCUCUGUUUUACCCCCCUCCUUUUCUUUCCGCUGUGUCAGGAGGCAGGUGCACAGCCAGUUACACUCACAUCAUGUCAGUGGAGCUUCUGAUUUGCUCCAGUUGACUGUCAUUCUGCUGCCAACCCCACCGCACAGUGCCAAAUGCAGUGCAGUACCAAUAUACACCGCACUUCUGUUCCAGCAGAGAAUUCCUCCAACUCUGAUAUAAUUCAACAUGAUUAACAAAAGGACAGUUUCAUAAUGCUAAUUAACAUCGUGUAGUCAGAAGACAGACUGUAGGCCUGUAUCUCUAAUGUCCUAUGUUAAACUUGUUCUAUAGACAUAAAAAGGCUAGUACAUUAACCAUAUCUUAUUUUCACAUUCUUCUUUUCAGAGAAGCCCAGAUCAAUCGUAAUGCAUGCAGAUAGUCUGAAACACUCAGCAGAUGAUUUCGCUUAAAUUUCAGUAAGACAAAUUAGAAGAGAUCUUCAAUCACUGCCUUGGGAUGUGUGGGCGAUGUAUUAUAUUUUACAGGCAGCAGCAGCUGAAAAUCCAGUUUUCACUCGUCAGCCAAUGUACGCUUUUAAUUACACACUAAAACUUGAAGACCUAAGAACUGGAAAGGAAAAGAGCAAAAGAGAGACUUCACAGAGAUAAUGAGAUGGCUGCUUGCUGAAAUUAGGGAACAUCAUUGUUAAUGUCUGCAGUGUUAAGCUAAAGAAGGAAAAAAACAGAUUCCUUGUCUUGCCCAAUGCAUUUCCUUUUAGAAGUGUAGUUCACUAGUAACAAAUUUUAAGACUUGAAACCCUAGCAAGUUGACUAUUUGAGUGAGGGGUUUUAUCUUAUAAGGCAUGAUGGAAGAGCUAGUUUGAGGCAAAGUAAUAAAUUCUGCCUCCUAUUUCUGUGAACCCUUAAUAUGCUAUGAUCCAUAGACAAAUGAAAGUCUAAGGUCCCUGGAAACUUACUGCUUGAUAUGGCUAUUCAUUUCCUGGUGCCCACUUGAUUUUCACGCUCCAAAAACAAAGCUUCAAAAGAGAAAUUAGGAAAAAAAGGUCAAACUUUUUUAUAAAGCCCAAUUUCAAUCUUCCUUAUGAAGAAUGUCAUUCAAACACUUCAUUAUUAGUGUGUUUACUCAUAGUAAUUUUUUUUUAAAGCUGUCUAGAUCGAUUUGAUAUGUUAUCCCGCAACAACUGGACAAUUCCUCUGUUUUCUUGCAGAUGAGAACCUUGGAUUGUUGCACCAAGUUUCAGCAUUACUACUGAUACACACACUCAAACAGACCUCAGAAGAAGAUGUUACAAUAACGUUAUGAGCAAGAAACUUCCAAAUGCAGUUUUAAAAUUAUCUAUCAUCUUCAGCUUUGGGCCAAACUUUUUCCUCGAGAACUGCGAGUAGCUCAGGUAAAUCACAAAAGACAUGACCAUGUUUUACCUAUUCUGAAGGUACAGACUGGCAUACUUUGCUUGGGGCUAUGGAUUGGUAUUACCUAUUUACAGUUGGUCUUAAAAUAAUCACGUUAAUUGCCUUAUUUUGGCACAGUUUCUGGCAUAUACCUUCCACAUUGAUAUCAAUGAAUUAUUAAUGAGCAACUUUACACAUAAAUUAAACAAAGGCUACUUCUUCCCCAAAGAGAGUAAUACUUGGAAAACGUGCUAGUCUUGCUCAUGAGUUGCAAUAAGGCUGGUAACAGCAGAGGCUGCACAGAGCACAGGCCAUGAUGACCUGAACACUGAAGGAAGAAAGCAAGCUGAGCAGUGUUUCCUGAAACUAGGGCAUCUAUAAAGGCAAGUGCCAGUAAUGCAAUGCUAGUAAUUCUACAGCAUACAGCCACAAAAUCAAGGAGACUUAUUUCAACAAAUUGGAUGUAAUAGAUUGCACUUAUAGGGUUUUAUCCCAUGGCUACUGAAUUACUGAAUCUUCAUUGAUGCUUUUAGGCCACGUGCACUCCUGAUCUGCUGUCCAAGUUUCUUCCUAUACAGGCUGGUGGUCUCUAAGAACAAGCUUUACAGAACACAGAUUUCAGAUUUUAUGGAAUGCACCAGGCUUGCUAAAGAUCCACACUUUCUUCUACUUAACUGAAAUAACAUUUUUUGCCUACAAGUCCUGUUCUUUUUGAUACUUGCAUUGUGUAUUUCCCAGUCAGAUCUCUAAGGAUCUAAUGGCAAGAGUCACCAGUACAGUGCAUCUCUCCCUACUUGCCUCCCCUUUAGUUCUUUGAGAUACAAGUACUUUAUGCUACAGGAAAUGAGGACAACAGAAAGCUGUGGAUCCCAUGAAUAUACAACUGUCUUGAAGGCAUGGAACAAUCCAGCCCUAAUUACAGCCAGCUGGAGUCUGAUCUCUCUGCAGCAAUACUUAGAUAAUUAACCAAAUACUGACUGAUGCAAGACUCAAGGAUGUCACAACUAUUCAGACACUCAAGGUUAAUUUUUGUAUCAAUCACUAGAAUCAAGCUUAAUGGAUAUUAUCAGCCAGUCUUCAAAAUCGAUCAGUGACACACAGAUGUAUAAUUUGGGAAAAAUAUUUCUUCUUGGUUUGGGCACUAUCAUUUUUUAGCUGCAGAAAAAUGUCUUUUCCAUUUAAAAGGCAAAUUCAUAAAUUUUGAUUAAUUUCAUGUCCCUUUAAUAACAUGAAUUUUUAGACAGAUUCAAUCCCUCUGACUUCAGGUUAUUUUUAUAGAGCUAAUUAGUCUUGCACUGAUCAGAAGAAAAACAUUUCUGUCACUGCUUUUUACUGAGUGGUAGCUCCUGAAGCUUUUUUUCAAGUCAGUCAUUCAAGAAAUCUAUUGAGAAAUAUCUGAAAUAUUUUAGCUUGGCAAAAUGACAAUGACGAAAAAAUCUGGAACAGAAGUGCAGAGAAACCUUUGGUAAAGACACAGUGCAAUGAGAAACACAACUGAUCAAUAACUGUUAGAUCCUGGGUAGAGUUAUACAGGAAGAAAAAACAUCGUGCAUCUCAGUAGCAUACUUGGAGUGUUUUACAAAAGCUGGGUGGGGAGGUAAGAAUGUAAAGAAUUUAGAACAGGGACUCUUUUCAUUUCAUUUUUUUUUAUUUUUUCCCACACCUUCUUAUCUAGUACUGAAAAAUAAACAAUUCCAAUUAUGUUUGAACACUGCCUAGCAUAGUCCUUCAGUAGGAAAAGUCUGAAUUUUGUUGAAUAUCUUCAAAAUGUCACCCUAGCACAACCCACAAAGUGUCCACCACAGCAGUUCAAGUACUGUGUGCAGUUUCUCUCUGAAGAAAACAGAGUUUAUUACCAAGAAUGGAAAAUAAUGGAGUAAAAAUAAAAGCUUUGCAAAGACUCUCAUAUAAAGAAUAACACAAGACACUGCUAAAAAAAAAAAAACAAAACAAAAAAAACCAAGCAAGCCAGGUAUUUCUGGAAUGAUUCUGAAGUCAACUAAAGCCCCUACUUAUUCUUCUAUGAAGCUUGUUUGCCUGGAAUAUAUAUAAUUCUAAUAUAUAUAUUAUAUAAUAUAUAAUAUAUAUUAUAUAUAUGCUAUAUAUUCCAUAUAUAUAUAUAUGAUAUAGAUAUAUAUAGAAUAUAUAUCAUUCUAAUUUGUAAGAACAAAGGAAGAAAGGACUACGUAUCAUCGGCCAUAAUUGUUUCUGAAAGCAUUUUCAGAGAGCUAUACUGAGAAGAAUUAAGGAAAAUUCAUGUUUGAAAGGAAAAGUUGCAUUGUGGAUAAAUUGCUAAGAAACCCUUUGAAUCUGAGGAGCCUCCACCGUUUCUAUUAUUCUGUGUUUAAAGGAAAGAGAACAAAACCCAAUUAUACCUUCAGAAUAAUUUUCUAGAUGCGUGCAGCUGCUACAGAGAGUCGGGGCACACGAGUGAGCUUUAGGCACGGUCCCAUGGCACUCAAUUCCUGCUGCUGCUGAAGCAACCCAGGGCGCGAGGGGAAUACUGCAGCGUCCGGGGUUGAAUCUGCCUCUGGCCACAAGCAAGAGACAGUGGGAUGGGUGACCAGCAUGGGACGAAGCGCCGACACUGCCACACGCACCUGGGGGGCUUUGCGAACUGCAGGACACAAAGGCAUCCUGUCCACACCGCGUGCAGCACUGCUCUCUUACUGCCGCUUCUGAGGUAUAUUUUUAGAUGUGUCUGCUUUCUGUUCGCUCGUUCCCUCACUCUGCUCUUAAUGUUAACAGACAAGCCAGAAGCAUGGUAUUUACAUAAUUGCAUAUAUGCCAUUUCCUAAUUGGGAUAAUAUGGAGCUAACGUCUUUGAUUUACAAGUUGUAGCAAAAAAUAGCACCGAUACUACAGGCUACUCCUGGGUAUCUGGAUAGCAUUCUUAAAAGUAUAUCUUUUUUAUGGCAACUACGUAAGUAAUCUUUUCCAACCUAAUAAGAAAGUUAUUCUUAUUCAUACAUAAUGAUUUUUGUCUGAAGCAGGGGUAAGCAUGGAGAUCAUCUUUUCCAGCCCUAAAAACUGAUCAUUCUGUUAGUUAGCAGAAUCUGAAAUAUGUUCGGUGCUUUUUUUUUUUCUUUUCCAAAACAAUGGGAACGCAUUUCUUGCCAAUGCAACCCAGCAUGAAAAAUAAAAUCUAAUAAUCACCAACUCAACAGCUGAUGAAUCAAAAUGACAGAAAGUAAGUAUGCUAUUUUCGAAUGAAGGAAACUAAGGGAGGCUGAAUUGUUAACAAAUAUUGGGCAAAUGAAGAUUGGAGACCUCAGUACAAACAAAGGCUUCUAAUCUCCCAGUUACCAGAAAUUCACUGCUCCCACAACAAGCAUUCCCAUCAGAAAAAGAGCUAAAAGAUCCAAUAUCCAGAAGCAUAGAAGUUUUGAUGUAAAUAAAACAGGAACCUGUUCA